CUUCCACCAAGUUAUCAAAGCCCAUGACUGCCAUAAAGGCCUAAUCCCCCCCAAUCAUCAAGAAUACAUAUCUUGUUGAUCUGUUAUCUGCACUGUGUGUAGUUGAAUGUGUGGUUGUGUGGAAGAAUACCUUAGUGAACCUUUAAUGUUCACAGUGAAGUCUGAAACUAUGUAAUGCAGUCUGUGAUCUUACCCUCUCUGUGGUUGUAGGCUGCGAUGUGCUCCUCGGUGGUGUUGGUGGUGUGGAGACGUGCAGGCGGACAGCGGAGCGGUGUUUCUCCAAUUUGUCGAUGUCACAGUAAUAAACUCCUCCGUCUCUCGCCUCGGCUCGCUUUAUGAUGAGGGACAGGUUUGCUCGUUGGUGCCAGUCUGAUGGUAUUGAGACCCGGCUUUCAUCAAAGCUUUUUCCAUAUGUGGUUUUCCCCGACCGGACAUCCAGCUCCAGCACCACCUCUCCAUCUCUCCUCCAGCGCACAGACUUCACCCACUGACCUGCUGUGAUGGAGCGGCAUGGGAGGAUGGCAUCCUCGCCCUCGUGUACAAAAACAUCAGAAGCAUCACAGAGUCGCUGCUUUGGAAAAACCUGUCCAUAUAACCUGGAGCCGGCUUCCAGCUGCCGUCGAGAUCCCCGACUGAAUGAAGGCUGUUGUCCUGCAGGCGACGUUUCAGCGUGCCUCUUCCUUUCAUGCACUCCUCUAUGAGGGGAAACUUUACAUCGUCUCCUGCAGCGGCUUGAAUCAGUUUCCCAAAAACGCCGCUGAUAAAAAGAGGAAUGAACGCAAAGAACGCAGAAAGUUUCAUCUUGUCAGUGCGGCAGCAAAAUGAGCCACCAGGAGCUCACUCGCCUUUAUAUGCAGAUGCCUCUGGUUGCGUGAACUGCGAGCCUCCGUGCGUCGUGGGUGAAUUCCGCCCAUGGAGCUUCAAGGAUGCCUUCUUGUGAGUCAUUCAUGCUACUGCCUGCCUGUGUGUGUGUGUGUGUGUGUGUGUGUGUGUGUGUGUGUGUGUGUGUGUGUGUGUGUCUGUGUGUCUGUGUGCAGCACUCAUUUUUUUCAGGCUGAGGGUAAACCUCUGUUGGUGUGUCAGGUUUCUUAUUAAAAUAAUGCUGGAAAACAGCCUGAUUGACAUUACACGUUCCUCAGUUUAAUUUAUGUGUGGAUAUGUGCCAUCACUUAUCUUUAAUCUUCCACUGUUUAUGUCUAACAGGUCUAAUAGCUCAGAGAGAGAACUACUGUGGCGGUCCCAGACACUGGAUGCUUUUAUAUCAAUAAAACUAAACUCUGACCAUUUAUUCUUACAUGGCUGUGGCUUUAGUGGAGUGUGGUGAACAAAUGUCAUUUUAGUUGUAUGUCACAAGUUCAUGAGUGGAGAGCUCGGGCUUGUUGGCUUUGUUUGUGAGACCUGCUAAGUUGCAUGACUCAUAUUGAAGAUCGAGCUGCUGACUGCAGUGUUAAAUCUGAAGUUAUACAGCGGAGGGAAAGUCAGUCAUUUAGAUCUCCAGCAAUCCAAUGUUUUAUGCUUAUCUGGGGCUUAACUCUUCACUUAUCCUGGAUUAGCCCAGGACAUGAAAAAAAGUGAUGAUGGCUUUGGGAUCACAAGGCUGAUAUAUCAGGACUGAUGGUGCUCACUUAGGUUGUUCACACACACAAGUGUGUAGCUAAAGUGCCCAGAGGCUGUUUCAAGUCAUUCUGCAGAAGACUUAAUUUGAUUUGUAGUAACUGAUCCACUUAAUGAGUCCCCUGAGCUUCAGCUGGCUGACCACAGGCCAGCUUGACACUGACCCUGUCAGAUCAUCUGCAACAUUGCAUUGAACCUUUGUCUC
ensembl:lncRNA